CCGCUGCGGGCGCCGUCUGUGACCUGACGCGUCUACAGGCUACGAAGGAGAGCAGCAGAGGAAACGCAGGGAGUGGGAGAGCCAGCGAAGACAUGGCGGCGUUGCCUUUUGGACAAGAGGUUGCCAAGAAGCAGAAGGAAGGAAAGAAGGGAGGAAGGAAGCAAGCAAGCAAAGUGAGCUAAAUUCUCCCCAAGAACCACUGAGAGCCAUCACUGACAGAAGCAUCUUACCAUUUCCUGCCCAGGCCAAAGCCCAGCUUGCCCUUCCCCCGCUUCACCUGCUCCUGGUGGAGGUAGGAGGCUCCCCAACACCUGGCUUCCCUCCUGGGAAUCCAAGCGAUGGUAAAGAGGGAUCUCUUCCCACGU